rnacentral:tRNA from 1 species
GCCUUCGUGGUGUACUGGUGAGCACGCUCAGCUCGUAUUCGAGCGGUCCGUGGUUCGAUUCCCGGUGAGGGCA